UACUGUAUAUGGACAUACAAACAUUUUCAUGUUUUCAUUUAGGUUGUUUUGUCAUUCCAUGUCGUAACAUAAUUUGUUAUUUGCUUUUAUAGUCCUAGAUGAUACUUUUUUUCAACAUGUGUACAGAUAAUGUUGUUUGACGAAUUCAGGUGUACCAUGGGGAGCGGAGGUUGUUAUGAAUUCAGGUGUACCAUGGGGAGCGGAGGUUGUUAUGAAUUCAGGUGUACCAUGGGGAGCGGAGGUUGUUAUGAAUUCAGGUGUACCAUGGGGAGCGGAGGUUGUUAUGAAUUCAGGUGUACCAUGGGGAGCGGAGGUUGUUAUGAAUUCAGGUGUACCAUGGGGAGCGGAGGUUUGUUGUGAUUUCAGGUGUACCAUAGGGAGAGGAGGUUUGUUGUGAAUUCAGGUGUACCAUAGGGAGCGGAGGUUUGUUGUGAUUUCAGGUGUACCAUAGGGACCGGAGGUUUGUUGUGAUUUCAGGUGUACCAUAGGGAGCGGAGGUUUGUUGUGAUUUCAGGUGUACCAUAGGGAGCGGAGGUUUGUUGUGAUUUCAGGUGUACCAUAGGGAGCGGAGGUUUGUUGUGAAUUCAGGUGUACCAUGGGGAGCGGAGGUUGUUAUGAAUUCAGGUGUACCAUGGUGAGAGGAGAUUUGUUAUGAAUUCAGGUGUACCAUAGGGAGAGGAGGUUUGUUAUGAAUUCAGGUGUACCAUGGGGAGCGUAGGUUUGUUGUGAAUUCAGGUGUACCAUGGUGAGAGGAGGUUUGUUGUGAAUUCAGGUGUACCAUGGGGAGCGGAGGUUUGUUAUGAAUUCAGGUGUACCAUGGGGAGCGGAGGUUUGUUAUGAAUUCAGGUGUACCAUGGGGAGCGGAGGUUUGUUAUGAAUUCAGGUGUACCAUGGGGAGCGGAGGUUUGUUGUGAAUUCAGGUGUACCAUGGUGAGAGGAGGUUCGUUGUGAAUUCAGGUGUACCAUGGGGAGCGGAGGUUUGUUAUGAAUUCAGGUGUACCAUAGGGAGCGGAGGUUUGUUAUGAAUUCAGGUGUACCAUAGGGAGCGGAGGUUUGUUGUGAAUUCAGGUGUACCAUGGGGAGCGGAGGUUUGUUAUGAAUUACAAAGCUCUCACACAUCACUGUACCCUCUAUAUGAGAGUGGGCUGUCCUUCCUUAGCUCUUCGGAGACAUAGUCAUUGGUUACGUCUUCAUUGAUCAGGUCAUACUGAGACAGCUCCCUUUUUACCUGUGUACCUACAUUGUCCAGCAGACAAAUGACAACAAUUGGCUACGCUCACAGGACUGUAUCUUGUUGACUGUGCCCGUACAGAGUUUGGUAAAAAAAAGCAUUCCAGUUUUC
rnacentral:lncRNA from 1 species